UAACCCUCCUAUUUCCUCCCAUUUCCCUCACUCUCUCUAUUUUGUCUCUCCCUCUUCUCUUCCUCUAUGUAGCCUUUGAUUUCCAUUAACAAUAAUAAGCCCUUACUGGGUUUCAUUGUUGAAUCUAUGUAUAACCAUUGAUUUUUAGCAACAAUGGAACUGCAAGCCUUUGUUGGGUUCCAUCGUUGCAGUGAAGGCGUUCUCUCCAACUAGAUAUCAGAUUUUGGUCCCCUCUUAACCAGAUUUGUGGAUCUGCCACUGCCUUCUGCCAACCCGGAUUCACAUUGCGCAUGACAUUCAAACUGCUAAUACAGCUGUGGCUGGUUGAGGUGAGUUAAUAAAUCCGUUUCAACUCCAAUAUUAAAAUAGCACCUAUGGGUACAUAAGAAAUGUAUUGAAUUCAUUAUGGACUUUCUGUUCAAUAUUGAAAGGGAGUUUGCAAUGGUUUUGAGUGUAAAAUGGUAGCAAACUUGGUAGUGUAGGAAGGAACUUCAUUACUCCUCAAUGAUGAACUUCUAGAAUGGCAGCAAACUUGGUGGUUUCUUGGCAAUAGUUUCCCUAUAACAGUUGUAUUGUAUUGACAAUAAUUAUGAUUGGAUCAAAGUGAGUUUUAUUCUUCUUUUUGUUGUUUUGGUAUUGUAAAUGGCCACAUGGGUUUUGACAAUCUUGUUUGUUUGUUGAUGUAUUUUGUGUUACGCUAUAUUUAGUGCUCUUUACCAA